UUAUGACAAAAGAUUUCUAAAGGCAGGGUGACUAUGCUCAUCUGUUGUGGGAGAAUUAAACCAGUUCCUGAAGACUAAAACCCCUUGUUUCUCUGAGGCUCACCACCACCACCACCUUUACCUACCAUUUAUAACCCCUUCCUGUUGCUGUGGAUUCGCUCUGAGGGGAGGAGCAUGGUGGGGGCAAGAGGUGUGGAGUCACCACACAGACCCUGGAAGAUGGGUGAAAGUGGGCCAGAGGCGAGCAGCCCACAGACUCGUUUAUUUCAGGUGGUACAGUAGCUUAGAUAGCCAAGGCAGCCAAUCUGAUCAAGGGGCGGUUUAUGCCCUAUCCAAUCACACCCUGUUGCCAGGCAGACUCUGUUGCCAGGGUUUUCGAGGCCAUUCCUGAGUAACUGAUUCUCACUUGCCAGCAGCCAUCUUGGCAUGGCCUUCUCAUUCCACCACACCUUCCCACCCCUUGUAUCUGACACGCACACACAAGUCAGCCCUCCACAGGGAGGUCAGGGGAGCUGCUGCUUCCCCAGACUCAGGUCUGGAGACUGAGGGACUCGAUCCUGUUCUGUCUGACUCUGGGCAUGGACGCAAGUGAUGUGAUGUGGACUUAGAAGCGCAACUUACAGUGGAUUUCUACUUCUUGCAACUAAAAGACUCAGGACACCAGCGCUUGGUGAAAUGCGGAAGACACUGAAAUUUGUUUUCAUUCUUUCCAACUCUGGAAGUUCCCAUUCUGCACCUGUGCCCCAGGGUGGAUGCGAUGGUUUCACCCAGGAAAUGUUAGGGUGCUCUGUUUAACAAGAGAAGCUGAGCAAAGUACAGAAUGGAAGAGAAAACCGUACAAGGCCACCGACCUCAUCCAAGAUAAAGCUUCUAACAGCACAAGCAUUUAAUAUAAACUUACAGAGGAUUAAGCAACGUUUUGCCCUAAAACUAUUGCCUGUUAAUGGGAAGUUAUGAGAGUGUCCAUAAGAAAUGGAAUAUAAAGAAGUUUAAAUGUAAGACU